GACAGAGGGGGCAAGCGUUGCUCGGAAUCACUGGGCGUAAAGGGCGCGUAGGCGGGAUGGCAAGUCAGUCGUGAAAUCUCUCGGCUCAACCGAGAAACGUCGGCUGAUACUGCCGUUCUUGAGGGAUGCAGAGGAGACUGGAAUUCCCGGUGUAGCGGUGAAAUGUGUAGAGAUCGGGAGGAACACCGGUGGCGAAGGCGGGUCUCUGGGCAGUGGCUGACACUGAGGCGCGACAGCGUGGGGAGCAAACAGG
rnacentral:rRNA from 1 species